AGUGAACGCUGGCGGUAGGCCUAACACAUGCAAGUCGAACGGCAGCACAGUAAGAGCUUGCUCUUACGGGUGGCGAGUGGCGGACGGGUGAGGAAUACAUCGGAAUCUACUUUUUCGUGGGGGAUAACGUAGGGAAACUUACGCUAAUACCGCAUACGACCUACGGGUGAAAGCAGGGGAACUUCGGACCUUGCGCGAGUGAAUGAGCCGAUGUCGGAUUAGCUAGUUGGCGGGGUAACGGACCACCAAGGCGACGAUCCGUAGCUGGUAUGAGAGGAUGAUCAGCCACACUGGCACUGAGACACGGUCCAGACUCCUACGGUAGGAAGCGGUGGGGAAUAUUGGACAAUGGGCGCAAGCCUGAUCCAGCCAUACCGCGUGGGUGAAUAAGGCCUUCGGGUUUUAAAGCCCUUUUGUUGGGAAAUAAAAGCAGCAGGUUAAUACCCUGCUGUUCUGACGGUACCCAAAGAAUAAGCACCGGCUAACUUCGUG
rnacentral:rRNA from 1 species